rnacentral:rRNA from 1 species
CACGUAGGGUGCGAGCGUUGUCCGGAAUUAUUGGGCGUAAAGAGCUCGUAGGCGGUGUGUCGCGUCGGCCGUGAAAGCCCCGAGCUUAACUUGGGAACUGCGCUCGAAACUACUUGGCUAGAGUGUGGCAGAGGGAGGUGGAAUUCCACGUGUAGCGGUGAAAUGCGUAGAGAUGUGGAGGAACACCGAUGGCGAAGGCAGCCUCCUGGGCCAACACUGACGCUCAUGCACGAAAGCGUGGGGAGCAAACAGG